CACGUAGGGCGCGAGCGUUGUCCGGAAUUAUUGGGCGUAAAGAGCUCGUAGGCGGCCUGUUGCGUCCGCUGUGAAAGCCCGGGGCUUAACCCCGGGUCUGCAGUGGAUACGGGCAGGCUAGAGGUAGGUAGGGGAGAAUGGAAUUCCCGGUGUAGCGGUGAAAUGCGCAGAUAUCGGGAGGAACACCGGUGGCGAAGGCGGUUCUCUGGCCCGCAACUGACGCUGAGGCGCGAAAGCGUGGGGAGCAAACAGG
rnacentral:rRNA from 1 species